UACGAAGGGGGCUAGCGUUGCUCGGAAUCACUGGGCGUAAAGCGCACGUAGGCGGCUUUUUAAGUCAGGGGUGAAAUCCUGGAGCUCAACUCCAGAACUGCCCUUGAUACUGAGAGGCUUGAGUCCAGGAGAGGUGAGUGGAAUUCCGAGUGUAGAGGUGAAAUUCGUAGAUAUUCGGAAGAACACCAGUGGCGAAGGCGGCUCACUGGACUGGUAUUGACGCUGAGGUGCGAAAGCGUGGGGAGCAAACAGG
rnacentral:rRNA from 1 species